rnacentral:rRNA from 1 species
AAGGUGAUUAAUUGGAGGGCAAAUCAGUGCCAGCAGCCGCGGUAAUACUUGUUCAAGAGAGUGUAUGAUGAUUGAUGCAGUUAAAAAGUCCGUAGUUUAUUUUUUUAAACAAAAGGGACGAAUGGAAAAAUAAAGGACAACAA